rnacentral:piRNA from 1 species
UCCCAAUACACACAUGAAAGCUGCACUCC